rnacentral:rRNA from 1 species
CCUACGGGAGGCAGCAGUGGGGAAUAUUGGGCAAUGGGCGCAAGCCUGACCCAGCAACGCCGCGUGAAGGAAGAAGGCUUUCGGGUUGUAAACUUCUUUUCUCAGGGACGAAGCAAGUGACGGUACCUGAGGAAUAAGCCACGGCUAACUACGUGCCAGCAGCGGCGGUAAUACGUAGGUGGCAAGCGUUAUCCGGAUUUACUGGGUGUACAGGGCGUGUAGGCGGGAAAGCAAGUCAGAUGUGAAAACCACGGGCUCAACCUGUGGCCUGCAUUUGAAACUGUUUUUCUUGAGUACUGGAGAGGCAGAGGGAAUUCCUGGUGUAGCGGGGAAAUGCGUAGAUAUUAGGAGGAACACCAGUGGCGAGGGCGGUCUGCUGGACAGCAACUGACGCUGGGGCGCGAAAGCGUGGGGAGCAAACAGGAUUAGAUACCCAGUAGUC